rnacentral:rRNA from 1 species
UCGACGGCAGCAUGAUCUAGCUUGCUAGAUUGAUGGCGAGUGGCGAACGGGUGAGUAAUACAUCGGAACGUGCCCUGUAGUGGGGGAUAACUAGUCGAAAGAUUAGCUAGUACCGCAUACGACCUGAGGGUGAAAGUGGGGGACCGCAAGGCCUCAUGCUAUAGGAGCGGCCGAUGUCUGAUUAGCUAGUUGGUGGGGUAAAGGCCCACCAAGGCGACGAUCAGUAGCUGGUCUGAGAGGACGAUCAGCCACACUGGGACUGAGACACGGCCCAGACUCCUACGGGAGGCAGCAGUGGGGAAUUUUGGACAAUGGGCGAAAGCCUGAUCCAGCAAUGCCGCGUGUGUGAAGAAGGCCUUCGGGUUGUAAAGCACUUUUGUCCGGAAAGAAAUGGCUCUGGUUAAUACCUGGGGUCGAUGACGGUACCGGAAGAAUAAGGACCGGCUAACUACGUGCCAGCAGCCGCGGUAAUACGUAGGGUCCAAGCGUUAAUCGGAAUUACUGGGCGUAAAGCGUGCGCAGGCGGUUGUGCAAGACCGAUGUGAAAUCCCCGAGCUUAACUUGGGAAUUGCAUUGGUGACUGCACGGCUAGAGUGUGUCAGAGGGGGGUAGAAUUCCACGUGUAGCAGUGAAAUGCGUAGAGAUGUGGAGGAAUACCGAUGGCGAAGGCAGCCCCCUGUGAUA